GACGAACGCUGGCGGCGUGCUUAACACAUGCAAGUCGAACGCUGAAGCUCAGCUUUUGUUGGGUGGAUGAGUGGCGAACGGGUGUGUAACACGUGAGUAUCCUGCCCCCUUCUUUGGGAUACCUCCCGGAAACGGGUGCUAAUACUGGAUAUUCACUGGUCUUCGCAUGGGGGUUGGUGGAAAGGGUUUUUCUGGUGGGGGAUGGGCUCGCGGCCUAUCAGCUUGUUGGUGGGGUGAUGGCCUACCAAGGCUUUGACGGGUAGCCGGCCUGAGAGGGUGACCGGGCACAUGGGGACUGAGAUAGGGCCCAGAGUCAGACGGGAGGGAGGAGUGGGGGAUAUUGGACGAUGGGCGGAAGCAUGAAGCAGCGACGACGCGUGAGGGAUGGAGGCCUUCGAGUUGUGAACCUCUUUAGCGAAUGGUCAAGCCGCAACAAUGGUUGUGAAGAGGGUAAUGGGUAAAGAAGCGACGGCUAACUACGUG
rnacentral:rRNA from 1 species